UGCGUAGGCGGCGCUAUAAGUCAGAGGUGAAAGGCCACAGCUUAACUGUGGGACUGCCUUUGAUACUGUAGUGCUUGAAUUAGGUUGAGGUCGGCGGAAUGUGACAUGUAGCGGUGAAAUGCUUAGAUAUGUCAUAGAACACCAAUUGCGAAGGCAGCUGACUAGACCUUAAUUGACGCUGAGGUACGAAAGCGUGGGGAGCGAACAGGAUUAGAUACCCUGGUAGUCC
rnacentral:rRNA from 1 species